AAAUAUAAAACAAAGCUAAAAUUCAUUCAAGAACCAUUCACGCUCACUCCGGCUCUAACCCACUGCCGUCACCACAUCCUCUCCGGUUAGUGUUUGUUUGUCGCCGCCUUCGCCAUUAGAGUUUUUCGUUCGAGUUUCGGUUUCGUCCUCUUUGCCGAUCUGAUUUCGAUUUCGUCGUUAUUGUUCGAGAUGUGCUCGAUAACCCUAAUUUUCGUAUCCCAGAUGUUGGAUAAUCCCAAAUUGAGGUGAAUGGAUGAACAGUUCCGCUGAACAGGCUUUUUCACCUCAUGUUGUCACCAUUGGAGCUCAAGAGUGAUUAAAAAAAAUGGUAGGUUGUUAAUGGCCUAGAUGCUAUUGAAGUUUUCCAUCGCAAGCUAAUUAUAAGUAUUGAGUUGGACGACAUACAUUGAGGGCAACCUCGGAUUUGGUCUUCAACCUACUGAUUAUAUGUAUUUUGUGAAAUGUGAUCAAGGCGGAACCUUCUCUAAGGGUGAACUAAAGGGUUUUCAAGUGAGCUGUAACAUUUGAUCCUUCCCCUAUUUGUAAAAUCAAUUGAUUUGAGAUUUUGAUUUGUGUUGAGUGCAUAUAUGAAAUAAGUUAUUUCUAGUUUAGGGUGUGUAUGUUUAAUUUAACCUCAUUAUUUGAUUUGGCGUGAAAUGAUAUUGUAGAUAUAAUUGAUAAUUGGGCAUCUUUAAUAAUGCAUAUUUCUAAUGCAUAUAUCUUGUUUCACUUUUAAUUUAAUCUUUUAAACAUUUUUAUGAUUUCAGAUUCAAGUAUCGACAAGGAGAAGUCUCCUGGAAUACAACCCCCUAAGACUGAAGUGUGCAGUCCAACAUUUAUAACUUAUUUUCAAAUAUCUAUUGGUGUAAACCUUUGAGAAAUUGCGCCUGUUUUUAGUCUGCUCUAAUGUAAUACUACAUCAACUGUAGUUUUUGUUUUUGUUAUUGUUAUUGACCGAGAGUUUGUUGUAAAAAAUAAAGAUUGAGUUUUUGGAGAAAAAAAGGUAGUUGUGGUUAGUUUUAAGUUAUUGGAUUGAUUGAUAAUGUCAUUGUUGUUUGACACAACCCACACACUUGUUCAGUUGGUUCUACGAGGAUUACUAGAAUUUGCGUUGCUUA